rnacentral:lncRNA from 1 species
GUGGCCUUGUCAGCCUCCCUGAGGAUUCGACUUUUACACCAAAUGAAAUGGGGAUCGUAAGAGUGACACUCUUUGUCUUAAGGACCCCUGUGCUCCUGUGCUGAGAAGAAUGUAGGGGCAGAUGUGGAGGCAGGGAGGCUGUUGCUGUCACACAGGCCCAAGGCUGUGGAGGCUCACACCAGGGUGGUAGAGGAGGAUGGGUCUCGCUCUGCUGCCCAGGCUGGAGUGCAGUGGCGCCAUCUCAGCUGCAACGUCUGCCUCCGAGUUCAAGCAGUCCUCCCGCUGGGACUACAGGUGUGCAACACCACACCCAGCUAAUUUUGUUUAUUUUUUGUAGAGAUAGGGUUUCAUCAUGUUGCCCAGGCUGGUCUCGAACUGCUGGGCUCCAACGAUCCACCCACCUCAGCCUCCCAAAGUGCUAGGAUGACAAGUGUGAGUCACUGCACCCAGCCUGAAUCAUUUUUUAAAGAGCAUGUGUCCAUUAAAAAUUAUUUUAAUGAAGCUUCUCAGGCAUUCAAAGUAUCUCAUCUCCAAUCCCUGGCUUAAAUUAGAAAACAAUCUCGGCAGAUUGGAAGCCCUCAUUUACCCCUUCCUUCUGUCAUUCCCAUCCCUCCUCUCCCUGGACACUGGUGUUUAUCGAUUCGAAGUCCAUCUUUAUAUGUGUAAGUAUGUGUCCCCAAAUGAUCAGAAUACCG